rnacentral:rRNA from 1 species
UACGUAGGGUGCAAGCGUUGCCCGGAAUUAUUGGGCGUAAAGAGCUCGUAGGCGGUUUGUCGCGUCUGCCGUGAAAGUCCGGGGCUCAACUCCGGAUCUGCGGUGGGUACGGGCAGACUAGAGUGAUGUAGGGGAGACUGAAAUUCCUGGUGUAGCGGUGAAAUGCGCAGAUAUCAGGAGGAACACCAAUUGCGAAGGCAGCUCGCUGGGACGUAACUGACGCUGAGACGCGAAAGCGUGGGGAGCAAACAGG